AUGAAAUCCAGACCCAAAUCCCCCCUGGUUUUGCAAAACUCAAACCAAACAAGGAGUAGAGACAGGCACAAGGUGGAUGACAACUCAUAAUAUUUUAUCUAUGUGUCUAAAAGCAAGAUCAUUUUUGGACAUCUACAAAUCAGUGCUGAAAUACAACAAGGGACAAGAUGGAGGUUUGAUGCCACUGGAAGCCCUCUCCAUUUGUGGUGUCGGUAUCUGCAGUUUCGCAGAUUAGCGGCGCACCUGCUCAAGCACAUGUGACAACCCGACGAUGCUUUUUCAGUGCACUCUGGCAAACAGGGCCAUACAGGAUCAGGAAGUUUCACUGGGAAUAUGACACUGUGACACACAAUCAUAGAUCUUAAUAUCAUGAGACUCACAAUUCAUCACUAUUGUAUGUGGACACUGCCAGAAACUAGAAGUGGGUGGGAAAAUGUGUUUGUUUUCUGUUGGGGCCACCUCUCGCCUCUGUCAUUUCCAAAUUUUGCCAUUUGUGGUGAUCUCAAGAAUGUACCCGCCCUCCUCCCUCCCCCCCACGAAUGAUGAGGGCUUCUAGUAUAUUGUUUUCUUCACUAUCUAGAACUGUUAAUGUCCAUUUCUGGCAGAACUGUCCUCAUGUGAUGCUUUCUUGUUUGUUCUCUCUCGGACAAUAUAAAUCACGAGGCAGUGUCUAGCAACCGUCAGGCUUUCUAUUGCCAGGAUGAAUUCCCACAGAAAAUACUCUCCCAAAAAUUAGGGUCAAAUUCUGAUUAGACUUUCUUUGUCCAAGACCUUAUGGGGUGAUGGUGAUAGAAUGAUCACAGGCAUGUUCUGCAUGGCUGUACGUGCUUCCAUGUAGGCUCCAAAAUGAGAUUGCUUCUUCUUGUAGCCAUACCCAGAAGGAGCCAGACAUGACUCAGGUAGUCUAUGCUGCAUGGCUAUUUUGGGACACCUGAGGUAUCC